CAGGAAUUCUUAAACUCUGCGAUGGAGGAGCUGUCUGCAAAGCUGAUGCGAGCCAUGGUGCUACUCCCCAAGAGGGUUUGGUACACCUUACCCUACUAUGAACUCUCUUUAGUCACGUGGCUGACCAGAUCUUCUGAAACAUUUCUAUGACCCAAGGCCCAUACAUGUAUACAAAGAACUUUCCAAGCAGCCUCAGCAAGACAAAACAUUGCCUCUGAGUUACUAGAAAAGGGUAAUAUAACAAGAUGACUUGAUCAUUUUUAACCCCGGAAAAGAUAUUUCUAUUUGAGUACUGUAAGGAAGAGCUAAUAGAUGAAGAAGAAGAAGAAGAAGAAGAAGAA